AGCUUUUCAAAACUGAAAUAAUAAAAAAGAAAAAGAAGGUGACAACAAAGACAUAAAAGGAAGGUCCAUGAGACUCUGACAAUUGAUUUAUAAUAUGAUUCAUCCUUAGCAAAUUAUAAGGCAACUGAAUGACUAGGUUAACAAGAAAAUAAGCGAAAUUAGGAAUCCAUAGCUCUUUCCACACAAAGAGCUUAAUCAAGACUUAAGGCAUCAUGUAUUAAUGCAUGAAUGAUGUGUACUGGCACCAACCUGCCAGAAUAUAAUAUUAAAACAAACUAUAAUCAGAUAUGCCAGGAUCUUUACACCAGACCAAGUUUUAUCUACUCUCUGCUACAUAUAUGUGCUUUGAACCGUCAUUACAGUAACAUGUUUGUAUUGGGUUUUUAGACAACUCAUUUCAGAAUGGCUAGAAUAAUCUAAUAAAAAUUUCAAUGAAAUACCCUUGAGUAGGUGUCUUUUUUUUAUCAUAAAGAGGAUCACAGUUCAUAAAUAAAUAAACUUACAGUUAAAUAAGCAAACAUCAUAUUCCAAUUCGCUUGAGAUUUUCCAUUCAUUGUUACUGGUUCGUCAUAGCUUAAACACUGACAAUUUCGAUGGCCUUAAACUCAUUUUCUCAACUUCAUUUUGUGUUGAUACCAUUUAUGUGCCAAGACACCUUCAAGCCAUAAAUAUGGCAACAUUAACAGAACACCAUUAACAGCAAAAAUAAAAAACACAACUAUUAACAGCACUAACAGCAAAAUCAAAAUCAGAACACCAUUAACAGCAAAAUCAAAAUCAAAACACCAUUAACAGCAAAAAUCAAAAUCACAACCAACAUCAAAAAGCAAAAAAGGGAGAAAACGUUAAAAAAUUAGGAAACCGUUAACAGAUAACUCACCUUUGAAGACGUUGAAGGCUAGAUUCGCCGGAAGCACCGUUAGAGCGGAGGUGGAGUCGUGGAGGACCGGUCACCGGAGGUGGAAUGGUGGGUCGGGCGAGGUGGGUUUCCGAUUUGGGGGAAAAAAAGGGAAGGGAAUUUAGGGAUUUGUCUCUGAAGAAAAAAAAGGGAAGGGAAGGGUGUCGGGGAAAUGGGGAGGGGAAUUGGGAAAGUU
rnacentral:lncRNA from 1 species